UGCCCUGUCUUUUCUCUGCUUUCUUGCGUGAUUUUAAGUAUAACCCUAAAUCUUUGUUUUCAUUAUCGGUGACCCUCCAUUACUUUGCUGUCUUCGAGUUCUGGAGCAAGGUGGUGAAUCUCGUAACGUCUUCAGAACCAGUGCCUUUAGCCAAUAAGCAAUAACUUUCUCCUCAAGCACGAGCAACUAUCUCAAUACCUGAAAAUAAGGGAAGAUGAAGAAGACGACGUUUGUUCCACAUGUUUCCAUGUUCAUAUUAUGACUGGAGACAGAGUACACUGAGGAUAAUCCGAAGAUAGUUCUGCAAUGUGGACAUAUCUUUCACCUUGCCUUCAUCUAUGAAUGGAUGGAGAGAAGUAAAGCUUGUCCCUUCUGUUCCAAGAAAAUGCUUUUCUUGGAGGGUGAAAUUACAGAUCAGCUGGAAUAACGAGAAGAGAUAUCCUUGGAUUCUUUGCGGCUGAAAUUUUUCUUUGUAAACAAUUAUUUCUUAAUUUAUGUUGUAACUAUUCUUUUAUAUUCUUUGGAACUUCCACCAGAUUCUUUGUUGGCUUGUUACCUGAUGUUUUAUGGAUAUGGGAUACAAUCCAUUUGCGAUAAAG